rnacentral:lncRNA from 1 species
CAGGUAUUCCCUGCUCUUACUCCAAAAAGAUGGACCCAGGUCCGAAGGGGCACUGCCACUGUGGGGGGCAUGGCCAUCCUCCAGGUCACUGCGGGCCACCCCCUGGCCAUGGCCCAGGGCCCUGCGGGCCACCCCCCCACCAUGGUCCAGGGCCCUGCGGGCCACCCCCUGGCCAUGGCCCAGGGCCCUGCGGGCCACCCCCCCACCAUGGUCCAGGGCCCUGCGGGCCUCCCCCUGGCCAUGGCCCAGGUCACCCACCCCCUGGUCCACAUCACUGAGGAAGUAGAAGAAAACAGGACACAAGAUGGCAAGCCUGAGAGAAUUGCCCAGCUGACCUGGAAUGAGGCCUAAACCACAAUCUUCUCUUCCUAAUAAACAGCCUCCUAGAGGCCACAUUCUAUUCU